ensembl:snRNA U6 U6 spliceosomal RNA
GUGCUUUGGCAGCACAUAUACUAAAAUUGGAACGAUGCAGAGAAGAUUAGCAUGGCCCCUGCGCAAGGAUGACACACAAAUUCGUGAAGCGUUCUGUAUUUUU